GCCUUGGUGUAGUGGUCAAGACGCUUGCCUGGUAAUCAGGAGAGCUUGGGUUCAAUCCCAGCCGAAGCG
rnacentral:tRNA from 1 species